CAAAACCUCUUCUUCUCUUUCCCUUCCUAGUUAAUUACCUCUCUCAAUCUCUUCAUUAUGUAUGCUUUGUCAUUGAAAUUUGACAAAUUCUUUUGGCCAUUUUAGAUGUUCUAGGACACAAUUUUGAUAUUCCAACCCUCUUGUAGGUGACAGUCCCAGCAUAACUAUCAUCCCAAGUCCUCUUAUGUAUUUUUUAUGCAAGGACUUAUUAGCAAAUUGUAAUCAAUUUAAGGUGCAUGGAUUUAUUUACAAUUUUACAUAAAUUGGUCACUCCGUACCUAUCAUUUAAAGUGCAUAUUAGAGCAAAUUAUAAUCAGCCCCUGGUGAGAAGGUAUGUAUGUUUCUUUGUCCCAAUAGUUUAUAAAUUAUGGAUAAUGUAAUGAUUGUGGAUAAAUAUUAUCCUAUGGUUUAUUUUGUAUAAGUAUAUUAGCAUGGAGGGAACAUAGAAAUUUGGGUUUUGAAAUUACUUAACCAAAUAUAUUUCUUCACUUAUGAGUAAAAAAUUAAUUUAUUUAGAGUGUGCAUGAGUAUUCCUUUGAACAAGUGUUUAUAAGGAUUGAAUGAGCUGCAUGUGAAUAUAUAUAUAUAUAUGAAGCUUGAAUGUGUAUAGUAUAUAUAUAAUAAACGCCUAAUACCAGCAGAAUACGGCACACUCAGAAAUCAUGCAUUCUUCAUGUAUUUAGAUUGAGAGCCACAUAUUUGAAACUUUAAGGAUAGGGUUUAUCUUUAAAUUUCACCACUUAUUUUGUCUAUGUACAUAAGAACCAUUGGUUCUACCAACGGAUAAAGAAGACUUAGAAGAUAUAUAAUUAAUCUUCAAAAUAAAUUCUUGAACAUGCAACUUGAUUAGUGCCUAAACAGCCAAC
rnacentral:lncRNA from 1 species